rnacentral:tRNA from 1 species
GCCUGGAUAGCUCAGUUGGUUGGAACGUGCUGCUGAUAACACCAAGGUUGCAGGUUCAAUCCCCACAUGGGACA